ensembl:lncRNA
GGGAGGCAACAGGGCCAAGGUUAGCAGGAGAGGCAAGGACAGAAGUGAGAGAUAACAUAGUAUUAUGAAAAUAGGGAGCCACAAGACAAGACCUGCAGUCAGCUUGUAGAAGCUGAAAAAAGUCAAGAAAGGGAAUGGUCCCAGAAUGUCCUGAGGGAAACAGCUUUGCUGAUACAUUGACCUCAUCACAGUGAGCCUGGAGUUGGAUGCCAGAUCUACAGGACUAAGAAGACAUUUUCAAAGACACAGAUAUCAGUGUGUUGUUUUGCUGAGAGAAGAUAAAGGGGGCUGAGGCAGGGGAGGAAUAAAAGGCAAGCGGGUCCUGGCCCUUGCACUGCAGUUGAGGGAAUCUGAGGGCAGCAUGCAGGCACCAGCACCGAGGGAAGCUUUGGGCCUAGGCCGCAGUGAUUUUGAACUGGAAAUGGCUACAGCACAGCCUGUGUAGACGAGACAGCUUACUGAAAAGCUGAAUGAAAAUUGUGAACAAGCCGAUCUGUUUGUGAUCUUUCAACAUGGCUGCACAGCAACUCUGCAAAUGCUAGAAGAAAAAAACAAAAAGUAAAAGAACUGUAUGUUUGUCAUCAAUUUAAUGUAAAAAUUUAAAACAUAUUUCAGAAUCUUCCCAAGAAGUGCUAAUGUCACCAUGUCAAAUUGUAGUUAUUUAACCUAAAGGAUUUUUUAUUAUUAUAAAAAAUUAGACAUCCAGAUGAAGGUAGAAUGAAUAUUAUAAAUUUAACAGAUCAUAUUGCAUGAAUGAAAUGCACUCUAAUUUGUGAAGUGCUGUUAUACCUAUUAUAUCACUCAAUCCUGGUAGUAAUCCUAAUGAAAUAUGAGUUCAAACAGGUGUUGAUAUCUCAUAAAUGCUGCAGUAAUGAAGACAGAGGCUCAGAUGGGUUAAAUUAUUACGGAGUCACCCGAGCCCCUGGACCUAUGUAAUAACCCAGUGCCGUUUCCCUUCAGUAUUUACAAGAACUCCUACCUUUCCAAAUGCACAUCAUUUAGCUCUAGUACAGGCACCACGAGCAGAGGGUAUAAUUUCCAUUUCUGUCUUCUGCAGUCAAGCAGAAGUUCCUCUCCUUUGUGCACCGAUAGGAGUGCCGUGGAUCACUGGGCCUUGGAGAAGGGAGGCCUUAAGUGUGCUCCAUUUGCACGAUUGUCCUGCAGCACUUGUGGAUGACUGCACAGCCUUCUAAAGUAUGGGAAGCUAAGACCUCUGGCCAGGGAACUGUCUGAAAAUCUCCUUCAAAAACAAUGCUUGAGGGCCGGGGAUUUAGCUCAGUGGCACAGAGCCUGCCUCACAAGUGCAAGGUCCUAAGUUUGAUCUACAGUACAAAAAAAAAAAAAAAAAAAAAGUGCCUGAUCUGGAAGACACAGUCCUCCUGGGUAGGGAUUUGGCAUUGGAUGGUUGUUGGGCAAGACAGUCAGGACCAUGGUCAGCGUAUUGGACCCCAAAGAGAUAGGGCUAGUGUUCAAGGUGAGAAAGUCUUCACGCUUGAAAGAAAGACAGCCAUUUUCACAUUUGGGAUAAUAAAAGAAAUAAGUAGAAUUUUAAAGGUUAUGUAAGUGAAAAAGUUAACGUAUUAAAAUAGUAUAAGGAAUAAAGAACUAAAAAAAUUAAAACCAAAAAUAGCUGAAAUACAAAUGAUAUAAAGAAUAUUCAUAUUCACAUAAACCAAAUGUUGUUAUUGAUUUGGAUAUUUUCUUUUUUGGUACUGGGGAUCGAGCUCGAGUCCUUGCACUUGCGCAGCAGGCGGUGAAACCACUGAGCUAAAUCCCCAGCCUCGAUAUUUUCAUUUUUUGAAAAGCUAAUUUCUGUUGUUUCACAUUAGCAAAUAAAAGCUGCCAGGU